UCUACCCAGGUCCCUCGUUCUCUGUCACCCCGUUGUGGACCAGCACCCUAAAGGCGAGCUCAUCUCGGAACCCUGAAGUGUUGCCUGUAAUGUACCAAGAAGUGCUAUAUGUUCCCGUUUCAGGUCAGAGCCCAAGUCACAGCAUUUCCACUCUUCGCAGCGGCUGAGGAUGGCAGAGGAUAAAUAAUAUUUAUGUUCUAGACUUAGCCAACCUAAGUUGAAUCAUUGGAACCGCUCUAAGGAAGAAAAGAACAACUGUCAGCUUUGCAAUUCUCAAUUACCAACAUCCC